rnacentral:rRNA from 1 species
GACGAACGCUGGCGGCGUGCCUAAUACAUGCAAGUCGAGCGAGCGGCGGACGGGUGAGUAACACGUAAGGAACCUACCGAUAAGCGGGGGACAACAUCCGGAAACGGGUGCUAAUACCGCAUACUUAUCGAUGGCCUUGCGGGGCAUUAGCUCGUUGGUGGGGUAACGGCCUAACAAGGCAAUGAUGCAUAGCAGACCUGAGAGGAUGAUCAGCCACAUUGGGACGGAGACACGGCCCAAACUCCGACGGGCGGCAGCAGUAGGGAAGUUUCCACAAUGGGCGCAAGCCUGACGUAGCAACGCCGCGUGGGUGAAGAAGGUUUUCGGAUCGUAAAGCUCGGUUGUUAGAGAAGCGGUAUCUUAACAAAAAGCCACGGCUAACUACGUGCCAGCAGCCGCGGUAAUUC